rnacentral:lncRNA from 10 species
UUGCUAACAUUUAUAACCACAUAUGACAAUGUUGUAAUUUUUGGUUGAGCUUUCAGACGUAGUUUAGCAAAGUCAGGGAUGAGGAAAGAGUCUACUGUAUUUAUGCGUAGGUGUGCGUGUCAUGCUCCCCCUUCCGCAAGUUCCAGGGUUUUCUUCUUUUGUGGUUGCCAUUCUGCUUAGAGAACUUGCAUGAGCCUUUCUUUUGGUGUGGGCCUUCUGGUGACUAAUUCCGUUUUACUUCCUCUGAGAAUGUUUUGCUUUCCUUUGCAUUCCCGAAGGACAUUUUUGCUGGAUAUAAGAAUUCUGGGUUAAUGGUUCUUUUCAUCAUUUGAAAAAUAUUUUAUACUUUCAGCUGGCCUCCAUGGUAUCUGAUGAGAAAUUCGCUGUCAUUUGACUUGUUAAUCCACGAUAGUUAAGAUGUGAAUGAACUGAAGGAGUGUCUUUCUGUGCUGGUUAAAGAGCAGCAGGCCCUGGCUGUCCAGUCUGCCGCCACCACCCUCUCAGCCCCGAGACUCCAGCACAGGCUGCUGAUCUUGGAGCGCUAUUUCGUUGCCUUGAAGAGAACCGUUUUUCAGGAGAAUGUCAAAGUUAAGUGGAAAAGCAGCAGCAUUUCUCUGCCUCCUGUGGACAAAAACGGAGAUGCUUCUGGGCCAGGCACGGUGGCUCACACCUGUAAUCCCAGCACUUUGGGAGGCCAAGGCGGGCAGAUCACCUGAGGUCAGGAGUUCGAGAUCUGACCAACAUGGAGAAACCUCGUGUCUACUAAAAAUUAAAAAAUUAGCUGGGACGUGGUGGCGCAUGCCUGUAAUCCCAGCGACUCAGGAGGCUGAGGCAGGAGAAUGGCAUGAACCCAGGAGGCAGGGGUUGUGUUCUCGGCCUGCAGGCAAAGGCAUGGAGGGUCUCACCAGAGUGGGAUCCUGAGCGGCGCUGUGUUUCACCUUCGCCUUCCUGCUCAGGGCCUCGCGAUCAGGUACGGUCCCUGGUGUGGCGCGUGGUUCUGCUUCCCUAACACAUCAACAGACUGGGUUUCGAGCUGGGUUCAGCCACCAUGUGCCCGUCGGCUGAUCCCAAGUGCUGUCUGUGCCUCAGUUUCCUUGCCUGUGAGAUGAGAAGCUGCAGAAGCUGUUUGGCUUUUCACGUCUGUGCUUUAAAGAAAAGAAAAGAGAGUGUAUGCACCCCCACCUCCACCCCGAC